rnacentral:rRNA from 1 species
GACGAACGCUGGCGGCGUGCUUAACACAUGCAAGUCGAACGGAAAGGCCCUGCUUUUGUGGGGUGCUCGAGUGGCGAACGGGUGAGUAACACGUGAGUAACCUGCCCUUGACUUUGGGAUAACUUCAGGAAACUGGGGCUAAUACCGGAUAGGAGCUCCUGCUGCAUGGUGGGGGUUGGAAAGUUUCGGCGGUUGGGGAUGGACUCGCGGCUUAUCAGCUUGUUGGUGGGGUAGUGGCUUACCAAGGCUUUGACGGGUAGCCGGCCUGAGAGGGUGACCGGCCACAUUGGGACUGAGAGACGGCCCAGACUCCUACGGGAGGCAGCAGUGGGGAAUAUUGCACAAUGGGCGGAAGCCUGAUGCAGCAACGCCGCGUGCGGGAUGACGGGCUUCGGGUUGUAAACCGCUUUCGCCUGUGACGAAGCGUGAGUGACGGUAAUGGGUAAAGAAGCACCGGCUAACUACGUG